GGGGGAAUAGCUCAGUGGUAGAGCGCUGGAUUCCAGUCCCAGCGGUCGGGGGUUCGAUCCCCUCUUUCAUGCU
rnacentral:tRNA from 1 species